UACGUAGGGUGCGAGCGUUGUCCGGAAUUAUUGGGCGUAAAGGGCGCGUAGGCGGUGCGGUAAGUCACCUGUGAAAUCUCCUGGCUCAACUGGGAGCUUGCAGGCGAAACUGCCGUGCUGGAGUGUGGGAGAGGUGAGUGGAAUUCCCGGUGUAGCGGUGAAAUGCGCAGAUAUCAGGAAGAACACCCGUGGCGAAAGCGGCUCUCUGGAACGGUACUGACGCUGAGACGCGAAAGCGUGGGGAGCGAACAGG
rnacentral:rRNA from 1 species